ACCUAAAUUUUAAAUCACAUAUGAAUAUAAAAAAUGUAACCAGCUCAAACACAAGAAUAACAAUGUUGAAAUGAUUUUGUUAGGCAGCAUGGUGCUUGAACACAUUACAUGCUGGUCCUGUAAUUCAGUUCCUUUGGGUUUAACACAGCAGGAGAGCAGACAAACAAAUGUUAAGGACACAAAGCUCUUAACUGUACAAAAAGAGAAAUCGACAAGCUCCAAUUUCUUAGCAGCAUUCAGACCUUCGAAAUGUGGGAUGAUGAGUCUGUUGAUCUUUUCAUCUUUUAAAUUGUGGUCUUAUUUUAUUUUACUCCUGUGAUGUUGAUAUCCCACAAUGUAGUGCCUCGGUUAAAGCCACUGUAUGAGAAUUAAACAGACUUUUAUGAUUUUAUGUUUGAAAGAGUGUGUGAGCCUCCCACCUAAUAGCCUCUUCAGAGGAUCCUUCAGGAAUGAACGUGGAUAAUGGAAAGAGACCACUUAAUCCAGCCUCCAUUACUUUUCCAUAAUCAAUAAUCAGCGCAGAUGAUGUAGAGAUUUGAAAAUAAAUCCACAAAAUUCUUUUAAAUGAAGCUUGUAGCUUUUAUUUAAGCCUGAGAAUGUAAUGUGAGAUGUAAUCAUUACCUACGUUAAGCCAUUGGACAGUCAGCGUGGAAGAGAGUGAAAGAAGAUACAGCUUCUUCUUCAGUAGAUCAGUAGAUUCAAAAAUCUCAAACAAACAAAACAGCCGUAACAACUGCAUGAUGUGGUUUGAGGCAAAGAGACGUGUCAGGCUAUUAAUUCUUCAACAAAUUCCAGUAUGUCAGACUAUGGUCAUAUUCAUGUUAUUUCAUCUGUCUUCAGGCAAGAUUUUAGACACACAUAUUAUCACUGAGGAGGGUAUGACUGUAUCAUCAGCCGUUCUCUGACACCAAGUCCUCCCACAUAUCCAGCUCUAUCUCUGCCUUUUAUGCUGCCAAGAGUAGGAUAUUCCUUCCCAGCCUCUCCUUAAACGCUCCGUUUGUUUAACCUGAGUAACACCUCUUCCCUGCCGUUGCAGGCGCCUGCAGUCGAUAUGUGGAGCAUACUGAUAAAAACCAAUCAGUGAGAAGUGAGGGGGCUCCGUCUCAUUUGGCUGAGGAAGUGCUUAUAAACAGUCUGUGCACAGAUGCUGUAUGCCAGUGUUGAACUUCUCAUUUCCAUGGAUCUGAAUAGAGCUGAUCUUGACAGAACAUCACUGCAGGGCACAGAUGACCACUGCGUAUCCAUCAUGUUGAAAUGAAAUCUGAACAGCGUCUUAUGAGAUGGAUCUCAACCUGGAUUGGCUCAUUCAGACCACGUAAAAGGUCCAAGCAGAUACCUUCAAGUUGAAUCACAUCCAGUUUGAAUUCUUCCCAUGAAUUCAAUAUGGCAUUAUGGUGUUAAGAUCAAUAGCAACAUAAGGCAUGCCACAUAUUGUGGUAUAAUAUGAGGCUAUGUUGAUCUAACAUUGUUUUCAGGUUUAAAUCCUUUCUCAUACACAAUGCUAUGCUGUAAGGUCUUGCAUUUUUUGGUCAUAUAUCCUCUUUUCGCUUAAUCUUUUUUAUCCCACAGGACAAAAAAGGACAUAAUUGGAUUAAAUGGCUGUUGAAGAUGGAGUAUAUUUUGUCUAAGUACGUCAUCUACGCUAUGUCACCUCAAUGACAGCUAAAUGAGAAGGUUUAACAUGGUGCAUUAAAUCUUGAUAGAUAUACAAUCACUUGCAGCUAAAUACGUAUAAAUAUCUUCAUGCAACACGAACAGUUUUCUUGUAUUUUUGGGGUUAUAGAAGCAGCUUGUUUCUGUGCUUUCUGCCACUGUGACAUCUGUGAGCAUAUGACUCAGUUUGCUCUUCAUAUGUCAUUACUAGCAGUGUCGAAAUACAGCACAUAUUACUCAUCAGAACCUGUGCUUUCAAAGCCUGAGGCUUCAAAAAUUAUUUACCAGUUAGACAAUACAUACAGUAAGUGAAUUUCACACAAAGUCUCAUCCUCAUGGAAAUGUGUCGUAUGUAAUCAAAAUCCAGUGCAUAAAUCUACACAUAUUCUCAUUAAUGCUUUGAGUUCCUCAGCUGAAUGUGUUUUGAGCUUUUUCUCCUUGCAGUGGAAAUUUCAAAACAUCCAAUCAUGUUUUUUUAAGUGGCAUUUUAACACCGUCAAAGUGCCUUUGAGGUUAUCAACACAGCUCAGACCGAAUUUUAAAAUUCAAUUUCCUUAUGACUGUACAAAUGAAACAGCAUCUUUCUGGAGAAUGUGAAAAGCUUGUAGGAUUCAACGCAUAUACCUCAAAGCAAUCAAUAGUUUGUACAGAAGUGUCUAUAGCAGGCAUCCUCAAAUCUGGCCCACUCCUGCAGAGUUUAGCUCUAACCCUAAUCAAAAACACCAGAGCAUGCUUAUCAGAGUCUUCAAGAUCAUUAGAAAAUCACAGGUAGGUGAGUUUGAUCAGGGUUGGAGCUGAACUCUGCAGCAGAUUGGCCUUCCAGGGAAAGAUUUGAGGAACCCUGGUCUAUAGGUUUGUUAAAUAAGAGCUUGUACACAUCUCCACUAAAGCAGUAAAGAUAUAAUUUAAGCACUUUUUUUUUUUGUAGUCAUAAAUAAAUCUUUUUUUUUUUUAAUCUGAAAUCAGUUUACUGCCAAUUUCACUCAGCAGUCCUCUCUGUUGUUAUCAAUCUGGUAGAGGGAAUAAAGGAAAUGCUUUUAUUUAUUUAUUUUGCUCACCAGGUUCUGAGACUCAAUAGUGAGACAUGUGAACUCACCCACAAUACAAUUAAAAUACUCUUCAUCAUAAUGCUCCAGUAAGAGUAUGUGUCCUAUAAAAAAGUUAAUUGUAUUGUAAUGCAUAGAAGUACCACUGAUAAAAUCAUGAGCAGCAACACGGUUUUAUACUUAACAUUACAUAAUAAAGCUUUGA